AAGUCGUAACAAGGUUUCCGUAGGUGAACCUGCGGAAGGAUCAUUUCUGUUCCAACCUUUUUCUUCCCUUUCUGGCUUCAUUCUCCCUUGUAAUAGAGGGGGUUUAGAGUUGGAGAAGGAGAAAAAUAGAGAUUGUGUGGUUUAAAUGCUUUCUACGUGGGAUUCUGCCUUUCUAUUCUUCUGCUUUGAACCUCCUAAUCCUUUUGAUUCGUCGGAAGGAAAAAGGUGGGGAAUAAGUAUGGAAAAUAAAGGGGUAGGUUUCCAUAUAGAAACCCCAUUUUUCAUAUAUAAAAUCACGAUGAUUACUAUUGUAACCAACCGAGAGCAAGGUGUUUUUUUUCUGAUCUCUUGAAAAAGGGAAUAGGGGAAAAUGCUUUGAAUUUCACAAAUAUAAACGACAUACAACUGUCAACGGUGGAUCUCUUGGCUCGU
rnacentral:misc_RNA from 1 species